rnacentral:sRNA from 1 species
UGACUUCUCUGGAGGGUUAUGGUCGUAUU